UACGGAGGAUCCAAGCGUUAUCCGGAAUUACUGGGCGUAAAGAGUUGCGUAGGUGGCAUUGUAAGCGAGUAGUGAAAGCGUUCGGCUCAACCGGAUAAACAUUACUCGAACUGCAAAGCUAGAGGACAAGAGAGGUCACUGGAAUUCCUUGUGUAGGAGUGAAAUCCGUAGAUAUAAGGAGGAACACCGAUGGCGUAGGCAGGUGACUGGCUUGUUCCUGACACUAAGGCACGAAAGCGUGGGUAGCAAACGGG
rnacentral:rRNA from 1 species